AAGUCGUAACAAGGUUUCCGUAGGUGAACCUGCGGAAGGAUCAUUACUGAGUUCAUGCCCUAAUGGGUAGAUCUCCACCCUUGAAUAUAAACUCUUGUUGCUUUGGCGGGCCGCUUCGGCUACUGGCUUCGGCUGGUGAGUGUCCGCCAGAGAACCCUAAACUUUGAAUUACAGUGUCGUCUGAGUACUAUAUAAUAGUUAAAACUUUCAACAACGGAUCUCUUGGUUCUG
rnacentral:misc_RNA from 1 species